UCUUAUGGAGAACACACAACACACUGCUCUAGUAUUUCGGGUGUCCAUGGGUGGCGUAAACUGCUUAUCACCAGGUGAUCCGUCUCCUCGUUUGUUGUCCCAUACAUCGCCACCACCUGCGGACUACCUAGCGGGUUACCGGGGCUCCAGCUCGAAAAGCAGGAGUAAGAACAGGGUGGUUUUUAGUCAGUAAGAGUCUGACACUCCCUCUCUCCACACCCAAGGCGGGAGAAGUCAUUAGAUCAUUUUCCCCCUUAAAAAAAGUGAUGCGGGUGUUCAUUGCCCAUCUGCCCGUUUGCCGCCCCAUACAUGACACAAACUGGCGACCACUUAGCGAGUUAUCGGCGCUCCGGCUCGAAAAGCAGGAGUAGGAACGGGGUGGUUCUUAGUCAGUAAGAGUCUGACACUGCCUCUCUCAACACCCAAGGCGAGAGAAAGUCAUUGGAUGACUUCUCCCCCCUUAAAAACUUACCUUUUAACAACAAGGCGGGGAAGAAGUCAUUGAAUUUUUUUAUGUUAAAUGGGCCGACGUUUGGCCGCUAUCUCGCCUGAUGGUAAGUGAUGAUGCGGCCUACGAUGGAGCACGUCUGCCCAUAAGCAACCUAUUCACUCGGGCUUUGAAGACACCCAGGGGCCUUAGUCUGCUAUUACAAUUGUGUCAGAAUGGUCGAUCAUUGAGCAGUGCAAGAGGGACGGAGCUAUGUAGGUUGUAUAGCUCCAACCCUCUUGCACUGAUCAAUGAUCGACCAUUCUGACACAAUUGUAAUAGCAGACUAAGGCCCCUGGUUAUACCCAUCAGGAAACAUGUACGUAGGACAUAGCCGCCGCGUCACACCGCAUCGCGUUGGAUUCGCGUCUAAAUCGCUCACACAAGACGUCACAUAACUGCCGUAUUCAGAAUCAUUUAAUGCUUACUUAACCCAGUCCUUAGCAAUUAUUUUCGGAACAAGGUCUAAAUCGUAACUAAGGAAUAGUUUAAGUAAUCAUUAAAUGUUUUUGAGUACGGCAGAAAAUUACCGAAUUUGAUAUCAUCCCGGUUUCUUAUAGACUAGCUACUGUCCGCUGCUAGGCUCCUAUUGGUUGUAGCGUGAUGUUUUAUAGCCUUCCUCGAUAAAUGGACUAUUCAACACAAACAAUAUUAAUUAAUUUGAACCAAGUGAGACUUAACAAUCUCUACACUACACGAGUCACUGUUUACAUGUCGACAUUAGCUCAUGACGAUACCAGCGUACGUGUGUCACUGGACAGUGAAC